UGGGGAAUAUUGCACAAUGGGCGCAAGCCUGAUGCAGCCAUGCCGCGUGUAUGAAGAAGGCCUUCGGGUUAUAAAGUACUUUCAGCGGGGAGGAAGGUGUUGUGGUUAAUAACCACAGCAAUUGACGUUACCCGCAGAAGAAGCACCGGCUAACUCCGUGCCAGCAGCAGCGGUAAUACGGAGGGGGCAAGCGUUAAUCGGAAUUACUGGGCGUAAAGCGCACGCAGGCGGUCUGUCAAGUCGGAUGUGAAAUCCCCGGGCUCAACCUGGGAACUGCAUCCGAAACUGGCAGGCUUGAGUCUUGUAGAGGGGGGUAGAAUUCCAGGUGUAGCGGUGAAAUGCGUAGAGAUCUGGAGGAAUACCGGUGGCGAAGGCGGCCCCCUGGACAAAGACUGACGCUCAGGUGCGAAAGCGUGGGGAGCAAACA
rnacentral:rRNA from 1 species